AGAAGACCUGGAGGUCUGUAUAGAUGGGCAGUGACGAGGAGGUCAUGUGGUUGGGUUUACAACCAAUGAGAAGACAGAACAGAAAGUCUAUAAAAAGACAGAUACACGGGAAGUAGCGCACUUGCCGAGGGAAAGGACAGCAGCGGCAGUGAAGGGGAUUAGCCAGACAAAUGGCUAAUGCAUUGAGACCUUAUGUUUUUGUGCCUUCCGGAGAGGAAAAAAAAAAAAAUCAACGUACCCAACCAUGAAAUUGCAUCUGGUUUCUGGAAGUAUCCAACACAGAACAAAACCAUGCUGCCUUGGGCUCUCCUCAAAAUCACCAACACAAGGCCAAAGCUAAAAGUCUUAACACCUCACUUAAUGAGAUGCACCACAGUUCCCUAUGGAACGAGGUCACCCUCACUGCAACACCCUGGCACAUUCCAGCUUUCUUCCAUGUAGAUGCGUGUGUCUCAAGGUCCUUGGUCAUAAGAUAUGAAUCCUAGCAUAACAGAAGUGCUAGUGUGCUCUCAGCUGUGUGUACCCAUAACAAAACAGCAGUUGGAGCAAUCCCGAGAAACACUUUGAAGACCUGCUUGCUUUCAAAGGGGUUUGAAAAAAUAUGCCUCUACGGAGACUAAAGCUCAGUCCACCUUUCCUCUUUCCUUGUCCCCCACACUCUCAGGUAGGAAAGACGAUGGAAGGAGGAUGGAUCAGUUCCCAGCCACUGAUUGUACAAAGAUCAAAGACUGGAAGAGGCGACAGCAAAUGAGAUUCCUGAAAGAUGAAAUAAAUCUACGCGAUGAAGAGCUGAGCUGGGGUAGAUACGGAGAACAAAAGGAGGGUCUGUAGCAGCUGGGCUGCGAGGGGCCGAUCUGGGAAACAGAUCAUCACAACCUCCAGAGUCCAUAGCAACAGCUUCCAUAGCAACAACUGGUCCCAGAAGGAUCUCUACUGAACCUGGAGCCCAUGAGUUCAGAAAUGCCAGCCAACCAGCAAAUCUCAAGGAUCUGCCUGCCUCUGCCUCCCCAGUACUAAGAUUUCAAGCACUUACAACAGCAACCGGCAUUUCACAUGGGUGUUGGGGAUUCGAACUCAGGUCCUCACGCUUGUCCAGUGGGCUCUUUACUGACUGAGAUGUUUACUAAUCCCUGAGAGAGAAGUGUUUCAAAAUUAUUAUCAGGGGUUGUGGGUUGCCUGGUUCUUUUGUUUUGGUUUCAUAUAGUUUAAGGAUAUACCCAUUAGAUAUACACACACAUUCAGAAUUAUGGUUUUAAAAUUUUUUAAAUUAGUAUACAGAGUAAAGUUUCCAUAUGGAGUUCCGUGUUUUAGGGGUUGAUUCUCCCCGCUAUCCCAUAUCUUUGUUUCUCUGAUGCCUCCACCCACAAUUCCCUUUUCUACCUUCGUAUAGUGUGUGUUCUUUUACCUUCCCACCCACUCACUCCCCUCUGCUCACUUAAAAUCUCUUUCCCCUCGUGAGCCUCUUUCUAGUUCCUUGUCUCUAACCGCAUGCCUCUCUAUAGUUAUAUGUGACUAUAAAUUAGAAGCUAGGAUCCACACGUGCUAGAGAACACCACGUGUCUUUCUGAGCCUGAGUCACUACACUCUCCAGUUCUGUCCAUUUUCUUGCUAAUUUUAUUUUUCUUUACAGAUGAAUAAAAUUCCAUUUAGCAUAUAUAGAUCACAUUUUCAUGAUCCUUCAUCUGCUGGUGGACAUCUAGGCGGGACCCAUUUCCUGGAUAUUCAGAACAGAGCGGCAUAAACACAGAUGUGCACGUAUCUCUGGGGUAGAGUACAGCAUCCUUUGGGCAUAUGCCGAGAAGUCACACAGCCGGGUCACGUGCUAGUUCUACAUUUAGUUUUUGAGAACGCUCCAUGCUGAUCUCUGUAUAGUGACUGUACCAACCUAUAUCAACAGUGAAUAUAGAUACCUCUUUCCCCACAUUCUUGCCAGAUUUUGUUAUCCUUUGUUUUCAUGAUAGUCAUUCUCAUUGUGGUGAAAUGGAAUCUAAAAACAGUUUUAAUUUGCACAAUGGAGAAGGCUAUUCAACAUUAUAUAUAUAUCUCGGCUCUGCCAGCUGUCAACUUGACAUAUCUUGAUAGAGAGAAUCCCUCUGUGGUAUUGGACUGCAGCAUUUUAUUGACUGACAGUUGGUGUGGGAAAACUCAGCUCACAGUGGGGCUGCAACCCCUGGGUAGGUUGUUUGGCUGAGAGAAGAAGGAAGGCUGGGGAAGCCAUGGAGAACCAACCAGGGGUCAUUCUUCCUUUGCUUCCAUGUCAGGUUCCUGUCCUAGAUUCCUGCCCUGUUUUCUUUUGAUGAUGGACUGUGAUGUGGAACUGUAAACUGAAAUAAAUC